UCAAUCUCCCUUCUGUCUUGCAUGCUCUUAUUACAAAGUGAGUUUCAUCCUCCUGCUAUCAAAUGUGUGGUUUUGACCUGGAAAAGGAAAGGUGAGAAGGUCUUUAUUUCCUGUUCUUGAAUCUGGGAAGGCUCUGAGACUUAUGAGGCUAAUGCAUAAAUAGUUUAAAGAAUUUUAGCUGAUUCUCCUAAUACACUCGCUAUUGAGAUGCAGUCACUAUGCUGUGAGGAAGCCCAUGUAACAAUGUGGAGAUUCUGAAGUGAGUUCUGGGUUCUAAGCCAACAGCCUAAAUACUUUAGGUCCAUUAUUUAGGUCCAAGUUCAACCACUAGACCUGUACUUCGCAAGCCUUCAGAGGAUUCCUGCUUUCAGCCCGCAAGCUUUUUCAGCUGAAGCCCCCAGUAUCAUGGAACAGAAUCAGAUUAUUUCCACUGAGUCCUUUUCAAUUUCUUAACCCACAGGAUUUAUGAGCAUUAUGAAGUCAUUAUGGCUUUCUGCCACUAGGCUGAGAGUGGACCACAUAUACAGAAAUAAAAAACUAUUAAUAGAAAAAUAUAUUGCAAACAUCUAAUCCUCAAACCCCAUUCAAGUUUUGCCAACUACCCUCCAUCCUAUCAAAUAUUCCUUAUACCAAAAAGAUCCAGUUCAAAAAUAAGUGUUGCAUUUAUUUUUUAACCUCUUUUGAUCUGGAAUAGCUCCUCACACCGUCUUUCAUGACUUUAGUGCUUUGGAAGACUACAGAUGUUUAGGCUCAUCUGAAAUUUCCCUGCCGUCACCUGGGAAUCAACCAUUUCUUCAGGGAGUCCUAGUUUCUUUUAGCGUAUAGCCACCAAUUUCUACUGAGUAUUUAUCUACUAUAUGGCAGGUCAAGUCUGCAUUCUGGGAUAAAGUGUUGACACAAUCUUGAAUCAGUGCCUAAGGAGUUCACAAGUCCAGAGAGGGGAUAGCGCAUAGAGAAGAUAAAGCAGAUGUCCAUCCAAAGACUUGUAUGUGAAUGUUCAUAGCAACUUUAUUUGUAAUAGCCAAAACCUGAAAGCAACCCAAAUGUAUGUUAAGAAGCGAAUGGAUACAUAAAUUGUGGCAUAUGCAUACAAUGGGAUACCCAGCAAUAAAAAGGAAUGAACUAUUCAAGUAGGCAACAAAAGAUAAGAGAGCUGAAGAAGAGUGAAAAUAAAGAAACUUCUGCAAAGCCACACAUGUAAUAGGAAGCAAGGGACAACAGAAGCCUAGAAUUCCUGGUGAGCCAGAUUUCCAAGGCUCAAGAAAGCCAUCCAAGGAAAAUAGAAUCUCUCCUGUGCAUGCUCCUCAUUGCACUGCUGCUGAAGGACCCCAGAAAGCACUCCCCUCUGAGUUAUAUGCCCUGGGGAUAAUUGGCAUUGCUGGACUGAAGUUUGGCAGGACAUCCUGUUCCAGAAGGAAGCAGAACAGAGUACAGCCUGCUGUGGACAGUUCCUUUUUGUCUCAGGAUGCUUCAUUCGCAGCAUAUUCUACAAUUAUUCUGAGAGCUACAAGCAAGAAAGACGAGGGAGAACUGGGUUAGCUAAGAAAUAUAUUUCUGGCAACAGUGGAGAAGAAUGAUAGGAAGAGAAUCAUACUGGAAUAGUAUAGUCCUUUGGAAUGUUGUUGUAAUGAAGGCAAGAAGAAAAAUGAUCUUGAAGGCAAGAAGAAAAAUCAUAUUGAAGGAAAGGAGAGAUGAGUUUACCAAAUAUAAUCUCAGAAUUGUUCUGUAAAUUUCAUUUCUGCUUUAGCAGCCAUAAAGAGCUCCAUUUAUUACAGUAGGAACAGAGGCAACAGCAACAUGGGUGGCUGGCAGUGAUAGAAAGGAUUUUAGUUUUGAUACAUGGAAUUUGACAUGCUUUUUGAAAAUCUUCAGAUGGUGAUGUACAAACUACUGCAGGAACAUAUGAGGAAAGAUGAGAGAAUCCACAGACUCUUUGAAGGAAGCAGAUUGCUCCUGCAGGGCCUGGGAGACAACCAAACACUGGGUCCUUAGGGAGAGGUGCCAGAGGAAUUGGAAAAAGGCCACAGGCAGAAGGAAGGCUCCAGCUAAACUUGAUUGACCCAUCAUUUGGAUGACCCGAAACCACAGAUGCAAUAGAAGAAUGGAACAAAUUUGUACAUUUUGUCAAUAAAAACUUUAUCUUCA
rnacentral:lncRNA from 1 species